ensembl:lncRNA
GACUGUAGGAGUCAACAACCUGACAUCCCAGACAGGCCAAGUGAGUGUUCAAAAUGUGAACUUCAUUUCCUAAGGCUUACCUUAUUUAGGCCUGAAUAAACCCUCUGCCAAGCUCUAAAAGUGGACACUUUCCACAGGUAUACUCUGAGAAAUGAAAAUGUAUUAGAUGUGUACAUGUCAAUGUAUCCGAAAAUUAAUUUUACAGCAAAUGGGAAUAAAAGUUGAAGCACUGCAAUUUGUUUUUCCUGAGGAAAAAUCUAGUGUACAUGAAAAACUCUAACCAUGUUCUAUUAAAGACGAUUAUUGCUAGAGUUGCCUUGGCCUGACAGUUAUUUUGAUAGAAGUUUGUCUUACUUCAGGUACCAUACUUUGAAAAAUAAUAAUGAAAAAUCACUUUCUUAUGUUGAAGUUGAAAAUUUUAAUGGGGAACGCAGUCAAAAUACUACACAUUUGAAAAUUUCAAUGAGUUUUUGUGCUCAUGUCCUAAGGGUCUCUACCUUAGUAUUAAAGGGAGUGUUAUUGCCACCAGUGUUCAUUCUCUGAUUCUAUUUCCCUCUUGUAGUCAUCCUUUAAUUAUCACAUGGCUAUAUCCUUCUAAGGUAAUCACAGGAAAGCUUUUCAGAUGGGAAUAAAUACAAAAUACAUGAAAAUAUGAAUUAAUUAACCUCUUCCUCCUCCUUAUUCUUAUCCUCCUUCAAAUAAAAAAAAAAGAGGAAAAAAGAAGAAAAAUAUAUUUUUAAUAAAUCUCCCAAAAUAAUUUUCAGACAUUGUUGGCAGUCUUUCUGUCUUUUUCCCUUUCUCCAUUCAGAACUUACUUUUUUUUUUUUUUUUUUUUUUAAUACUGACUAACGAUGAAACAUACUGGUUGAAGAAUUGGAACAGUUGGGAGAAAUGAGGGCUCACAAACAAGACAGAAUAGCUUUUUAUGUUAUUAAAACUGUUUUCCCCUUAAGGAACAGAUUGUUAUGUAAUAGAAGAAGGAAGACAUCAUGAUGACCUAUCAAACUGUUGUCUUGUGCGCCUCUCCUGACACUUGCAGUAACAUGGCUCAAAGCGAUAGUUACUACAAAUGCAAGCUGCCACUCUUCAAUAAACAGCGAAAAUCAGACAAGGUCCUGAUUCCUGGCCUUAAGUAUGACCAUACCAAUUUCUCCUGCUGUAUGAUCGCUUUCCAUUCCAAUGUGCAGGGAAGGAAACAUUAUAUGUGCACAAGAGCCCAUAGGUGA